rnacentral:rRNA from 1 species
AGCAGUACCGUGAGGGAAAGGUGAAAAGGACCCCGGGAGGGGAGUGAAAGAGAACCUGAAACCUUGUGCUUACAAGCAGUCAGAGCGCGUUAAAGCGUGAUGGCGUACUUUUUGUAGAACGGUCCGGCGAGUUAUAGUAACGAGCAAGCUUAAGGUAUUCAGUACCGGAGGCGCAGCGAAAGCGAGUCUGAAAAGGGCGCAUGAAGUUCGUUGCCAUAGACCCGAAACCGGGUGACCUACGCAUGAGCAGGUUGAAGUGGGGGUGAAACCCCAUGGAGGACCGAACCGACCCCCGUUGCAAUGGUGGCGGAUGACUUGUGGGUAGCGGUGAAAUUCCAAUCGAACUCGGAGAUAGCUGGUUCUCCCCGAAAUAGCUUUAGGGCUAGCGUUAGUUUAGAUUACCGGAGGUAAAGCACUGAAUGGUUUAGGGGCUGAUAAAGUUACCGACGCCUAUCAAACUCUGAAUGCCGGAUAAUUGAUGCACAGCAGUCAGACAGUGUGAGAUAAGUUUCAUUGUCAAAAGGGAAACAGCCCAGACCUACAGCUAAGGUCCCAAAUGUAUGCUAAGUGGAAAACGAUGUGGAAUUGCGAAAACAACCAGGAUGUUGGCUCAGAAGCAGCCACACAUUAAAAGAGUGCGUAAUAGCUCACUGGUCGAGUGACUCUGCGCGGAAAAUGUAACGGGGCUAAGCAUGCAACCGAAGCUUAGGAUUGUCUAAAGACAGUGGUAGGGGAGCGUUCUGUACGGGGUGAAGUCGCAGCGGGAGCAGCGGUGGACUGUACAGAAGUGAGAAUGCCGGAAUGAGUAGCGAGAAUUAUGUGGGAAUCAUAAUGGCCGAAAAUCUAAGGUUUCUUGGGGAAGGUUCGUCCGCCCAAGGUAAGUCGGGAGCUAAGCUGAGGCCGAGAGGCGUAGGCGAUGCACAUACGGUAGAAAUUCCGUAACCACCGAACUUUAAGCAUGAGGGACACUUUGAGAUAGCGGGACCCGGGCGUUGGUAGACCCGGGCGAAAGGGACCGAAAUAUAGUAGGGAAGUCCGCGAUGCUCGGAGGCGAGAAAAGCUCAUGUGUAUACUAAGGUGCCCGUACCGCAAACCGACACAGGUAGAUGAGGAGAGAAUCCUAAGGCCAACGGGAGAAGGGUUGUUAAGGAACUCGGCAAGAUGACCCCGUAACUUCGGAAGAAGGGGAGCCUCGAAAGAGGCCGCAGUGAAUAGGCCCAAGCAACUGUUUACCAAAAACACAGGUUUAUGCUAAAUCGAAAGAUGACGUAUAUGAGCUGACGCCUGCCCGGUGCCGGAAGGUUAAGAGGAGAUGUGAGCCGCAAGGUGAAGCAUUGAAUUGAAGCCCCGGUAAACGGCGGCCGUAACUAUAACGGUCCUAAGGUAGCGAAAUUCCUUGUCAGGUAAGUUCUGACCCG